rnacentral:rRNA from 1 species
UACGAAGGGGGCUAGCGUUGCUCGGAAUGACUGGGCGUAAAGGGCGCGUAGGCGGAUCGGACAGUCGGGCGUGAAAUUCCUGGGCUUAACCUGGGGGCUGCGUUCGAGACGUGUGGUCUAGAAUGGGGAAGAGGGUCGUGGAAUUCCCAGUGUAGAGGUGAAAUUCGUAGAUAUUGGGAAGAACACCGGUGGCGAAGGCGGCGACCUGGUCCUUGACUGACGCUGAGGCGCGAAAGCGUGGGGAGCAAACAGG